CCUACGGGCGGCUGCAGUGGGGAAUAUUGGUCAAUGGGGGGAACCCUGAUCCAGCCAUGCCGCGUGUGUGAAGAAGGCCCUCGGGUUGUAAAGCACUUUCAGUGAGGAAGAACGCCUGGUGGUUAAUACCCAUCAGGAAAGACAUCACUCACAGAAGAAGCACCGGCUAACUCCGUGCCAGCAGCCGCGGUAAUACGGAGGGUGCGAGCGUUAAUCGGAAUUACUGGGCGUAAAGCGCGCGUAGGUGGCUUGAUAAGCCGGUUGUGAAAGCCCCGGGCUCAACCUGGGAACGGCAUCCGGAACUGUCAAGCUAGAGUGCAGGAGAGGAAGGUAGAAUCCCCGGUGUAGCGGUGAAAUGCGUAGAGAUCGGGAGGAAUACCAGUGGCGAAGGCGGCCUUCUGGACUGACACUGACACUGAGGUGCGAAAGCGUGGGUAGCAAACAGGAUUAGAUACCCCAGUAGUC
rnacentral:rRNA from 1 species